UGAUUCAUUUAGAGGCGGUUUGGUUUGACGUAAAAUUGGAAAAAAAAAAUUUCGAUGGAAAAAUUUUUUUUGAAGGAAAAUAAAUUUUACGCUUUCAAGCGUCUGAUUUGUAGAAAAAAAAAAUAGUUUUUCGUUAGAGUUGUUUGGUUGUUAGUUGAAAGAAAAAACAAUUUAUAAAUAAAAAUUAAUGUAUAUAUAUAUAUAUUUAUUAUAUUUAUAUAUAGUAUUGAUAUAUAAUAAUGAUCAUAUUACAUAUAUUUAAAGGUGUCCAAAAUAUCCUAUAUCCCAUAUCCGAUCCGGACCCUAUCCGGACCCGAACCGGACCCGAACCGGACCCGAUAAAAAAUGAAUAGUAUACGGAUAAAAAAAAUUACCCAUUAAAGUUUCGGGUAUGGGUCCGGAUAUUUUAUACCCAUACUCGAUUUGGAUCUGACCCGAACCUAACUUUUAAAUGGGUAGGGUCCGGAAUAGUUUUCAAAUCCGAACCCGGAUCCGGACCCGAUGAAAUAUCCGAUAGUAAAUAAAAAAAAAUAAACUUUUGAAGUUGAAGGAUCAAUUUUAAUAUGACUUAUAGAUAAUGAGUCACUACGUAUUUUUAUCCUAAUGAAACCCUAGCUAUCUCUUUUACUCAUUACUUUUUUCUAAUUUUUUUACUCUUUAUUUUCUACUCCUUUUUUUUCAUUUCAUUUCCGCCAACAAUAUUUCAUUGUCAUCAUCAUCAUCAGUGUCAUCAUCAUCAUCAGCGACAAUAUUUCUUUUGAAUGAAUUUUAUUGGACGGUACAACUUAUUAGAAUGCGAGUUUUUUUAUGGUGCGCUUUAUAGUUUGUCUAUUGACUAUUUAAUAAAGUUUAUAAAAAAUAUAUAUUUAUACGGAUAUCCGUACCCGAUCUAGAUCCGAUCAAUAUCCGGUCUUGAACGGGUAGUAUACGGGUAGUCACUACCCAGACCCGCUCAAAUAGACCCGAUCGGUAUAUUAGUAACUUUAGUACCCAGAUCCGGACCCAACGCGAAGUUAAAUGGGUAGGGUAU
rnacentral:lncRNA from 1 species